UCAGCCGCACCACAAAAGAAGAAGAAAAAAGGGGGGGAAACUCCUAACCUAGAAAAUCGGCAGACCCUCAAGCAAAAUGAGAGCAGCCGCCACCCUCAACAAACUCCAGCAGCAGCCGUCCCCACCUUUUGGCUUAGCCCUCGUCUUUUCCCUCUAUUCAUUUUCCCUUUUGGAUUCUUUUGCAAAUUCCUUAAUCCACCUGACAUAUAGUAGUCCCAAGAAUUGUUUGUAGAAUUUUUCCUAAUUGUUUGUAGAAUUUUUCCUUCUUUACCCAUUUGGUUUGGAGUCGAGUAUUCUGGAUUUCACAUUCUAGCUGCCUGGGGUUUCUUUCGAUUUUUCUCCUGGGCUUAUAACACAGAAACGCAAGCCACAUCUCUGAAACGACAAAUAUGCAGCGUUUUUGGGUGGAGAGAGCAGUCGAGGUUUUCGAUCGAUUUUCCGACGAGGUUCGUUGAGGUUUCCGGCGAGGUGGACGCCGUCCAUUCCAGCUCAUUUCCGGAUUUUAUUUGGUACUUCGAACUGUUUCCUUGCUUUCAAUAAGCCACACCUCUUGAUUUGCAGAAUCAAUCAUAUCAUAAAAUUUUUGUGCAUCGGGAUUCGGUAAUUCGUCCAUAUAUCGAAUAAGGGGCCAACGACGUCAAGGACCAUUCUAUGGUAUGAAGCAGGUGAUCCAAGCUCAUCAAUUACACCCACAUUUACUGAUCCCAAUUUUGCAUCUCUUCAUGUUGAUCUAUAUUUCUCGUAACCUCAUUUUCUCCGUGCAAGUACCAUAUAUGAUAUCCAAGUACAAAGCCAUUGCGCAAUAAAUGUUCGUGGACCGUAAAAACAUCUUCAAAAUUUCUAUUUUGACAUUUUUUUUUGUUACAUGGGCACCUUAGUCUCUCACCAUCCCUCCCUUCCCAAUGAUUCUUUGCAAACUCAAUAAAUUUCUCAACACACCUUACGAAUUUUGGAUUAUACAAACCUCUCGUUAACCUUUUGUAUAUCCACUCACGAUUUGAAGUCAUUUUUCUGGCACACUUUCUUUUCUGAUAAUGUAAAAAGAUUACAGUAGCAUUUAUUGAUAUCUAAAAAUCUUUGGAUAGUAAAAAAUGAGUACUAAUAAUCAAAUUAGGCUUCGAAUCCCAAUUAUAAUGAGCACACGCUUUCAAAUCAUUACCUAAAAAAUGGCACAAUAAAUGUUCACAGAGAGAUUGGAAGAGAUAGCUACAUACCAAUAGCAAAGGACAAAUGUUUAAAAAAGCGAUCGCUUCGUCGUUUUAAGCGAGAAGCAUUGCGAAGCGACAAUGCAUCAUUUUUCUGAAGUUGAGGCGAGGCGAUUUUCAAAAGUGAUUGCUUCAACACUUGAAUCGAGAAGCGACGCAAAAGCAAGAAGUGAAAAAACGAUCACUUUAGUCAAAAGGGGUCAAUUUCUUUUUUUAGAAAAAGAUUGGGUCUUUUUCUUAUUAUACAAAACAUAGACCCCAAAGUGAAUAUAUUUCAUUAUCUUCUUCCAUUCCAUCUAGCAUCGUUGCUGCUAGGGUUCCAGAAGUCUGUCCAGGGGCUGGGUAUGUUAUGGUAUGAGGCCCGACGCCUAAUAUUUUUGGGGCACUGGUGCUAUUAGCUUUUGGUAAAGCUGACCGAGAUAUUUCUUUGAAAGCAUUUCUUGUUGAUCAACUUAGGAAUAACAUGGAGGAAUCUGAGCUUGAACACCUUUCAUAAGCAAAUCCAAAAGCCAACUGGAUAGUUUCCUAAGUUGCACGUAUACUAUUACGGAAAUCUUUAAGUGAACCACUUCGUGAAGAGGAUCACAAAAAAAUAAGGAUAGAAAUACUACGAAGACUUAGUUGAAGAUGCAGCUGGAUUAUAGACAUUUUUCGCUGCAUUCCUCUCAAAUUAAGAGUGGGAGUGGCUUACAAAGAUAUGUACAUUUGUAAUGGUGGGAGGAUUGCAAUAGUCUUGUUAGGCUUCCCAUUUUGUGAACGCAAGGAACUAUCAGGGAACUCCCUUCGUUAUGUCUUUAAGAUUGUUAAAGCGGCAAUAUCAAAGAUGCAUUUGAAUUACCAGUCUCUAAUCAUCAGUUGUUCAAGAAUGACACUACCGAUACUUAGAUUCUUCCUCGCAUUGCAUACCUCAGGUACAUUAUAAUGUAAUACGUACCUAAACUUAACUCCCCAUUGACUAGUUGGUACAUAUAUAAUAGUAGAUCCUUAAUUUUUGUAUAAUCAUAUGAUAUCCGACAUCUAUUGACUCAAACGUAUGUGAAUCAUCCGUCUUAUAGCAUAUAAUUUUUUUGUGUGUUGAUGGUUAGACAAGGUAGCCAUACUGGAGGCGUUGCCCCUUCACGUUCAGAAUCAAUCGAGCAAGAAAACGUGUUGGGCAGACGACUUUUUGAGGUGGCAAAAGUGAGGGAAGUGAAACACUUGUUAAAGAUGCUCCCGUUAUGGUCAACAUUUCUUGUUUACAGUCUUGUAGGGGCUACAGGGAGAACCUUCUUUUUUGAACAAACUAAAUAUAUGGAUGACUGUCGCGGAAAUUGCUCAUUAAUAGUUUUUGUCAUUGCCAUGACAUUCACACAUAUCCUGUAUUUAGGAUAUGUCCGUUGCACCACAAUGAAAUUCAUGUGCGGCAUCCUUUGAUCAACAGAGUUAGCCUUCGAAUGUUUUGUUCCGUAAUAUGUUGUGUAACUGUUUGGAGAGUUGAAGAUCACAAGCUUCAUCAUGUGGGGAUACACCUCAUUAGUAUUUUCUGGCUAACUCUUUAAUUCAUCUUGAUUGUGAUUAUGGAGGGAUUGACUGCCAUUGGACUCCAAGAUUUCUUUGAAUCUCAGGUUUCUGAGUCAAUGAAUCAGUAUGGAUCACAAUUAAACGAACUCGUCUUAGGCAUUAGCCAAUUCUUAAAUGUCAUAUGCAUCAUCAUUUUCGAAUCCUUAUUUAAGGAAGACGUAGAUAAGAGCCGUUUAGACAAGUAUUAUGCAAUGUUAAUAGUUCCUACCUUUCUCAAUUUUUGCUUAUGCUGUUUGUUGAUCAGGAACUGGUAUGAUAAUCAUGAGCCGUAUGAUACCGAAGUGUUGGAGGACAUUGCUUAAGAAUUAUAGGAGAACAUAUUAAAGAUGAUAAAUUAGAACAACACAAGCUAGACUUUUUUAUGUCCUCACUUCUUUAAGAAUAUGUCCUCCCAUAAUUCUUGAGCAAUGUCCUCCAACACUUCGGUAUCAUGAGGCUCAUGAUUAUCAUACCAAUUUCUGAUCAGCAAACAACAUAAGCAAAAAUUGAGGGAGGUAGGAACUAUUAACAUUGCAUAAUACUUGUCUAAAAAACCCUUAUCUACGUCUUCCUUAAACAAGGAUCUGAAAAUGAGUAAGACGAGUUUUCGUUUAAUUGUGGUCCAUACUGAUUCAUUGACUCAGAAACCUGAGAUUCAAAGAAAUCUUGGAGUCUUGUGGCAGCCAAUCCCUCUAUAACCUUAAUCAAGAUGAAUUGAGGAGUUAGCCAGAAAAUAGUAAUGGGGUGUAUCCCCACAUGAUGAAGCUUGUGAACUUCAAGCAGUUACACAACAUAUUACGGAACAAAACAUUUCAAGGCUAACUCUGUUGAGCAAAAGACGCCGCACAUGACUUUUAUUGUGGUGCAACGAACAUAUCCUGGAUACAGUGAAUGCCAUGGCAAUGACAAAAACUAUAAGUGAGGAAUUUCCGAGACAGUCAUCCAUGUAUUUAGCUUGUUCAAAAAAUACUACAAGAAAUGUUGACCACAAACGGGAGCAUGUUUCACUUUUGCUACCUCAAAAAGCCAUCUGCCCACCAUGUUUUCUUGCUCGGUUGAUUCUGAACGGGAAGGGGACGACUCCUCCAAUAUGGCUGCCUUGUCCAACCAUCUGCAUAAAAAAAUAUGUUAUAAGAUGGAUGAUUCACAUACGUUUGAGUCAGUGCAUGUCGGAUAUCAUAUGGUUAUACAAAAAUUAAGGACGUACUAUUGUAUCUGUACCAACUAGUCAAUGGGGAGUUAAGUUUAGGUAUGUAUUACAUUAUAAUGUACCUAAGGAAUGCAAUGCGAGGAAGAAUCUAUGUAUCGAUAGUGUCAUUCUUGAACAACUGAUGAUUAGAGACUGGGUAAUUCAGAUGCCUCUUUGAUAUUGCCGCUUUAACAAUCUUAAAGACAUAACGAAGAGAGCUCCCUGAUAGUUCAUAAAAUGGGAAGCCCCAACAAGAAUAUAACAAUCCUCCCACCAUUACAAAUGUAUAUAUCUUUGUAAGCCACUCCCACUCUUAAUUUGAGAUGAAUUCAACGAAAAAUAUACCUAUAAUCCAGCUGCAUCUCCAACUAAGUCUUCGUAGUAUUUCUAUCCUUAUUUUUUUGUGGUUCACUUAAAGAUUUCCGUAAUAGUAUACGUGCAACCUAGGAAACUAUCCAGUUAGCUUUUGGAUUUGCUUCUGAAAGGUGUUCGAGCUUAGAUUCCUCCAUGUUCUUCCGAAGUUGGUCAAGUGUAUUUGAUACUGGGACUUCCAUUGUUAAACUUUUUCUUAAAAUGGAGAGUUGCUGUUUAUAAAUGUAUCCUGCCUCAUCAAGGUUCACACACCUGGUGUUGACUUUUUGGAGCUUCAAGCUUCUGAAAUUGCAGCGGCAAUGGCUUUGUCUGCCUCGGCCUUUCAAGAAAAAAGCAGGCAAAAGACAUUGAAAAGCUAAUACAGUUGCCUUACUUUCUUUUAUAUUAGAAGAGACUUGACAAGCUUGAGCAGCCUCUUUCAUCAACGCGCCUGCUUGGCAGCCAUGUGUUCUGCCCUCGCUCUGUCCUAUGAAAUAUCCAACCUUUUCUAGACUUAUCUAUCCUUCCACUCUUCUCCGAAGCUUAGUAGGAUAACUAGGGCAACAAUCGUUUGGAUUUCGGCCCGCCAAUUUCAUACGACGCCAUAUGUAGCUGUAGCAGUUUUCUCUUUUGGGCCCUAGCAGUGAACUGAAACGUCACUUUUCUUAGGCGAACUUGCUUCUCUCCAUCUCUUUUCUCCGGUGAAAUCUAUUGCUAGGUACCCUUCUUUCUCUCUGACCUUGUUCCUCUUGAUUUCUACCCUUGCACUUCAAAAUUCAUCCUUAUGCUACCCUUGUAAUCAUUUGGAGGUCUCCAUGUCCGUUAAUCGAUUUUGCAAUCGCUAUGGGGUUUUUUUGAUUGAGUUUUUGUCUAGACAAUUGAAGAACCAGUCCUCUAAACAUACAAAACAUUUUUCACUUUUCAAUAUUCAAUCUAACACAUAAAAUGGAUCACGGAGUAGAAUCUAACCAUGACAUUGGAGAGAAAAUUUUAGCUACUCUCUUUCUGUGAUAAUAGUGUGGUUGAUUUUAGUUGUUCCGUGGUUAAGAGUGGUAACUCCAAUUGAAAAAGGCCUAAAUUUGUAGUUCUUAUUCCUACUCGCUUUUUCUGAUAAUAGUUUAGCCAAGAUUGGUGGUCUGCUGUUAGUAUCAUACCAGUGUCUCUGUUAUUUUCAAUUCAAUAUUCAGAUAAUUAUUUAUGAUACGUCAAAUGUGAACAGGGCCGCUGCAUAAUGCCUGAUUAAAUUUCUUCAAAAAGGUUAUACCCCUUAACUGGUGUCUUUUGGACUAAAUAAGAACAAGUUCUGCAUUUCGUCUUCCUUUUCUUUUUUGUUUCCGUCCUCUCUUCCCCUGUUAUACUUUAUACCCCAUUUUUGCUCUAUACUUUUUUUAACUAUUGCCCUUCACUUCAAUGAAGCGUGCGUUUCGCUUUUGAAGCGAGGCGAGCCCCUGUCGCUUUUUUCUCUCAAAAACAGAGUUAUACACAUUAUAGCACAACAGCCUCAAUAUGAAAGACUAGGUACUUUUGGUACUCCUAUUAUUUGGUUUACGAUACUUAGAUAAGCUUCUUGUGAAACUACAAUUGUUUUUUCUUAGCAUAAUAAGGUGCACAGAGUGUGCUACAAAAAUAAAAUAAAAAAGUACAAUGAGUGCUAAUGCAGAUGUCCAGGUUCUUGAAAUCUUUUUACACCAUUCCAGUUGGAGAUUUUGCUUACUGAAGGGUACAUCACGAUUUUGACUGGUUGGUUCUCUGGCAGUUUUUUGCGAGUAUUUUCUACUUAGUGUUGUGGCGCUCAAACAGAAGGUUUUUGGUAUUUGAAAUGAUUACCCGAUAACAAAGAGACAUAUUAUGCAUCUUUUUACAGUCAGUUUCUUCUGCUGCUUUAUUUCUUGACCUGUUGGAAAAGUGAACAUUUGAUUUUUUGUUUGAAGUCAAUAUCAUAAGCCUGCUUCAGUUUUGGAAUUCUCAUUUGGAUCUUUCCAUGGAAGAAAACAUAUCUGUCCAUUGGAUAUGUGAGAACCUGUUUGGUAAACUCUGUAUGGAGUAAUACUUUUUCAGAUCUUUGGCCCAUCCUAGACUACUAAUGAAGGAACUACUAAUAUUCUUUUUGUGGGUGUAAAGUUAUAUUUAGCAAGAAAUGGGGGACCUGUUUUUGGUUUUUAGACUAACUAGUAGCUUCUUAAAUGUUAAGUUUUUUGAAAUGCUAAGAAGAUAUUUAGUAACACCAGGUUAGACAGGACUCCUUAACCUACUUAAUUUAAAAUAGAAAUUCAGGCCCUUUGUGGCAUUUUCCUUUAUCAUUGAUGGAGGAAGAGUGUGUCUAUACCAUUUAAGUUCCAAGUGGCAGGUAAUCUUCUUUAGAUAACCCGAUGCACCAACCAAGAUCAUCUUGCCAAAUUUCAUGUAGUUACAGAGGUAAUUUUGUACAAUAAUGGUCUUGUAAAGCUUAUUUCAAUGAUAACAAAGUAAAUUAGGCAAAAAGAUCAUCUUGCAAAAAUGCUCAGCAAUAACUGGAUGGUACUUUUGCAUCGAUCAUAACAUCCUGCACAUUACAUAAUGUCGUUGGUGUUGUAAACAUUAUUUGAUUAGCUGCUGUUUCUGAACAGGCGAACCUAAAAACAUUGCAUUUUUAAGUAGGCUUCAGAUUCCUGGUUUUCUCAGUUAUUUUACUGUUUUGCAGUUUUCCCACUCUUAGUUGAAAUGGUUUGUAGGGACAAUGGCCCCUGUGAUGAGAUUUACAGCUUAAUCUGGAGUCAAGAUUUUUCGUGAUGCGAGUAGUGUCAUAUGACAGUCUGGUAAUGGAUAGUUCAGAAAUAGAAACCCACCCAUCUCACAUAUUGCCAUUGUCGAGGAAUCUAAGGCACACUUCACCUUCAACCGAAAUUACAGCGAGUGAGGGAUUGUUUGGAGAAUGUUGGUCACCUUCUAAGUGCUGAAGUUGACGGAAUUCAAUCUUUGUCACAUGCUUAGUUAUAUGUAGACCAUUCAGGAAGAUAUAUUUCUCAAUGAAAAGAGUAUUUUUUCGACUACGUGACUGUAAUUACAUAUAUAUUCAGAACUGUUGUUUACUAUACUUACAGCUGGAAGUUUGGUGA